rnacentral:rRNA from 1 species
UUCCUACGGGGCGCAGCAGUGAGGAAUAUUGGUCAAUGGCCGAGAGGCUGAACCAGCCAAGUCGCGUGAGGGAAGACGGCCCUACGGGUUGUAAACCUCUUUUGUCGGGGAGCAAAGCGAGUCACGUGUGACUCAUUGAGAGUACCCGAAGAAAAAGCAUCGGCUAACUCCGUGCCAGCAGCCGCGGUAAUACGGAGGAUGCGAGCGUUAUCCGGAUUUAUUGGGUUUAAAGGGUGCGUAGGCGGAAUAUCAAGUCAGCGGUAAAAAUUCGGGGCUCAACCCCGUCGUGCCGUUGAAACUGAUGU